UUUUGCGCCAAUUACCCAAUGAAAAUUAUAAUUAUAAUUAUUCUCUUAAAAAAAAGGCCAAUUAAAACCAAUAUUUCUUAAUUUAACAAAGACAGCAAUUAAAACCAAUAUUUCUUAAUUUAACAAAGACAGUAAAAAAAAAAGUGAGGCUCAGAUCUGUUUUUGAGUCGGGCAAGAGGCCGAUCACGCCAUGGCUGCAAAAUCACCGGCUGCAUAAGAGAAAGAAGGAUAAAACCCGACUCAGAUACCACCCGGGUUGCCCCGCCAAGAUACGGAUCAUCUCACUGCCUGAUUCAUCAGCUCAGAGGAACAAAGACAAAUAUCAUCACAGCCUCUUAAAAGCUUACUUAUUUUCACUUACAAGUAAAUAAUUUAAGCUUAGCCAAACAUACACUAAGAUUAGCAAUACGAUGGUCAAUUAUAAACAACAGUAGAAGAAACUGCAGCGCCAACAGGAUAUAUAUAUAUAACCAGAGAACAAGAAGAGAAGAAGAAGAAGCUGCAGAUCCGGGCGAAGGUAUUCAUAGAUCCACUGGAAUUCAUGCUAUAUAUCCAUCUCUCUCUUUAUACGUAUGUAUCGGAUGUAACAUACAAACAAACACACACACAAGGGUUGUUGAUUUGGAAGAUAAAGGAUGAAAUCAUUGAGUAAAAGGGAGAGGCAACCACCCUGAGAAAUUCCAAUCUCCCUUCACCCUCAUUCGUUCCGUCUGAGCUUAACCCUAAUUGAACGGUGAAGAUUGUUAUUUAUAUAGCCUCUUCGAUUUCCAUUUUUAUCCCCGUUCGACUCUCUUAUUACCGGUUGUGGCUUCAUGUCGUUUCAGGGAACUGUUAUAAGUUCACAUUUUUGCUCGCUCAUUUGAAAUUCCAAAUUAUAAUAUGGUGCGUUUGACCACCGAUCUCCGAG
rnacentral:lncRNA from 1 species